CUCCCGCCCGCACCGAGACAGACGCGCUCCCGGGGUGAGCCGGCUGGCUGGCAGCUGCCACGGGAGGAUUAGUUACCCAGCAGCCACACCGAACAGGGAGACUCGAAUCAUUAGAAGAAUGAAGGUGAUUAACUAACUAGAACAUGAAAGGCAGAACCACAGGAUAUUCAAGCUCCACAACUAAAACUCUUGAAAAAAAAAAGUCAAAGACUCCGGUGCAGGUUUUCCAGACAGCCUGCUCUUCCCGUACAUUAACACAAGUGAGGAUCUUCAACUGUUGCUGGUAUGUUCUCAACUGCCCCUGUUCAAGUUGGGUUCUCAAGUGCAGACUCUUCACAGAAGGCACUUGUGGAUCAGAGACUUGGUUUUCAGCAUUAUACUAUAGAAGAUGUUGGCUAGCACUUUUGAGAAAAAUGCAAGACAAAGGACAAUGAGAUGAACAAUGACAUCUAAUGGGGUGGUGGUGGGCUGUGCUCUAGUGUAAGUGACCUGCAAGUAGCACGUGAUCUGAAGUUUACAGGUACCUUCACAGGUAUAGAUUGGUACAGAUAUAAAUGCCUGGUUCUAAUUCAAUACUUUCAGAAGGAACUCACAUGAAGAGUGAGAGUUUAUAUUACCUAUGAAGAGGUGCUGGUCGUGCAGUGUGGGGGAAGUUCACCAAACCAGCUACCAAUCAACUGUGUCAAAGACAUGCCUAUUGUCAAAUCAAGGAGAGCAAGUUUUUCCUUUGGAUUACCAAAUUGUGUCCAGUCCUGCAAAUUGUUCCAUAUAGGCUGAUGUCUGCACAGAACUCCUUGUUAGACUCAAGGCAUAAAUGCAGAAGUUCAUACAUAGAGGGUAUAUACUUGAACUAUCCUGGGACAAAGAUAACAUUAGCUAACCAAAAAUAAAUGUAUUGAAUGUG